UGUAAACUUUAUUUGACUAGUUUACUUUUCAUUUUUUUUUUGUGCUAUAUUUUAUGUUCAUUGUCAAUGUAUUUGUGUUAGCUUAGUUAUCAUUGUUUGUAAUAUUAUUGAUGUUGCUAGAAAGUAUAUGAGGAAGCCCCAAUGGCUAAACGGCGAAUAGUGGGGGAAACUUAAGGCAUAUUGGCGAACUCCUGAGUUUAUCGCCAAGUCUGAGCAGGCAAAGGCUGCCCGUGCGUCCCAGAAAGGUGGCUAUUUGCACACUGCUGGUGCAAGAAGUCAGGGGCAUGUGACUAGGACAAUGUCUACGGGACAGAUGCCGACUCAGGAUCAGCUAUUCCUAAAGACCCACACAAAAAAGAAGAAGCAGGAGUCGGAUCCGAUCGUAUGGGUUGAGGACAGGGCUCGUGAUUCCUAUACGCAAUUUAUGCAAAAUGUGGACCAGCACAACAAAACUCAGCCUGACCACCCGAGCCGUCCUCCACCCGUAUUAGAGAUAGAUUUUGGUGUGGAGCAGUUGGGGGAGUACAAAAGCGUAGAGCGUAUGGUCUAAGCCCAAGGAACAACUUAAGUCGCCUUCGGUCAGGAUUGCAAGGUGAAGGGUCUUCUCGACAAGCCGAGGGAGUUGAUGGUGUUUAGGUCGCAGCUAUGGCGCAACAAAUUGCUGAACUUAAUAGGAAAUUAGCCGACCCAGAAGAUGAUGAUGAUGAUGGUGAUUACGUAGCCCGGACACCGGAUGAUCAGUCGUAGUAGUUUGGA